UCUACACUCAGUUUCCUAUUUGAUAUCUCCAUGGCACAAGCUCUGUAGAUAACUUCCCUUAAUAGUGUUUCACCCCCAACAGUAGACACAAAUAAUAAUGAAUCAAGUUUAUCAAGUGAUACAUUAAGUUUGGAAGCAAAAACAUGUGAAAUAAAUGAAUGCAAUGCACCAGUGUCAAAUAAAACAUGAGCAAUAUGGUCACAGAUAGUGUACAUACCCUGUACCAUAUCCGGGUCGGCGUCGGCAUCCUACUAGGUAAGGUUGUAAACCCUACCCUGAAAAGGAGGUCUUCCUUGGUUCUGGUUCCUCGGGCACUAUCUCGCAUAGUGCUGGGCACUGCCAUAUAUGCAACAGGUGUUGUUGAGGCGGUAGCAUGGUCGGUCCCCCUGAUCCCUGCCAUAGUGCUGGCAGAUCUUUCCACGUGCUACCCCUGGAGCCUGAGGAGGGACCUGGAUCACUGGUCUGGGCCUUUUAUUUGGUUGGACCGGUGUACUAAGUGCUGGUCUGCGGGGUGGAGCUGAGGGUCGGUGACUCCCUGCUGACUGAGGAUGGGUGUUGAAACUCCUCUCCACAAUCAAGUGUUGCUUGAUUUCUGGGCGGAGGCCCCACUAGAAUCUCCUGACCUUCCUGCCUUCAUCCUUCAAUGUCUCUGGGGAGUAUUGGCCUAGCUCUAGGAACUUACUAGCAUAUUUCAAUACCGUCAUGUUUUCCUGAACCAACUGAACA
rnacentral:lncRNA from 1 species